rnacentral:lncRNA from 1 species
GAUAUGAUCGACUCGGGAGAAAUUGAAUUUGAUCCUCCAGAGACUCCUAAUGUCAUCACUGCACCUAUGCCUAACCAUGACAAGACUGUUAAUGCUGUGGAUGACAAUUCUCACAUUUCUAAUGUAGCUGACUUAGCAUCUCCACUCCUGACCAUCAAGAAGAAUUUAUUGCAAACUGGUUUAUUUCCAGGUUGUGCUGAAAAUUGCGAUCUCUGUAUACUCCGACCCAAUGAUUGUUUGAAGUUGAGAAAUGGUAUUCAACGGCUGAUGGACGAGCGUACAAUUCUCUUUGAAAAGAUUCCUAAGGUGGAAAGCUCUAUUCAAGAAAUAUCUGUGAUCGCUAGGUCCAAAGUUCCAGUGAAGAUUACCGCUACUAGAGUGCCAGUGAAGAUUACUGUUGAGCCCAAGGUAGCUCCCCUAAUCAUUACCGCACCUGGCCCAGUACCGUAUUCCUCAAGCAAAGCCAUUCCUUGGAAUUAUGGAGGUGAUGUUUACAUCCAUGGCGUGAAGCAAGAUGAUAAUCCUGCUAAUCCUAAUGACGUUGACAUUGUUAGGACUAGUAGAAUUACUCGAAGUGGAAGGGUCUUUUCUCCAGAAAUCUCACCUCCCGUCCCUGAACCGCGAGGAAAGGAACCAGUCAACCCUUCUCAGUCAGAGACAUCGGUCGAAGUUACUACCGAAGAUGUUGCCAAACAAGAAAUGGAAGAAGUGCUGAAAAUCAUCCGCAAGAGUGAUUUUGAUGUGGUAGAACAGUUGGGGCAUACCCCGUCUAAGAUCUCGAUGUUAUCCUUGUUGUUAUCUUCUGAACCUCAUGCCAAUGCAUUGAUAAAAUUCUUGAAGACCGCUCAUGUACCUCAGGAGACAUCUGUCGAUCAGUUCGAAAAUUAUGUUGCUCACUUGGCUGUUGACAAUGGCCUAGGCUUUUCCGAUGCUGACCUGACACCAGCAGGAAAGAAUCACAAUAAAGCUCUGCAUAUCUCCAUUGAGUGUAAGGGGAUCACCUUGUCUCAUGUGUUGAUCGAUAAUGGCUCUUCUUUGAAUGUGCUACCGAAAGCUGUGCUCGAUAAACUUGACUGUAAAAGCAUUGAACUGAAACCUAGUGACAUUGUGGUGCGUGCUUACGAUGGUGCGAAGAGUGUUGUCCAUGGUGAAGUAGUCCUUCCUAUCAAGAUAGGACCUCAAGUCUUCAACACUACCUUCCAUGUAAUGAACAUUCGUCCUGCCUAUUCCUGCUUACUGGGACGCCCUUGGAUUCAUGGGGCAGGCGCUGUAGCCUCGUCUCUCCAUCAAAAGUUGAGGUAUCCCACAAAGGGCAAAAUUGUCACCGUGUGUGGAGAAGAAGAGUACAUUGUCAGUAGUGUGCAUACCUUCAGAUACGUCGAGAUGGAUGGUGAAUUCAUUGAGACUCCUUGUCAGUCAUUUGAAGUAGUUCCUCCGACCAAUCCUGUCCUUAAGCCAACUUCCUGUGUACCCAAGGUUAUUCGUGCUCCUCCUGCUAUGAUUUCUCUGAAGGACGCUCAAGCCGUGGUUGAAGAUGGUGGUCGUACUGGCUGGGGUCAAUUGAUCGACGUACCGUACAAGUCUGACAAAUUUGGCCUGGGGUUCAGCUCUGACAAGAGUCAAAUUAAUGCUGUAGAAGAUGCUGACAGCGAUUGCGACCUGGAUAGCUGGAUUUUCCCAACAAUUGGUGACGGACUCAAUAAUUGGAAGGCUGAAGACACUAUCCCGAUUUCCUUUAGUCAGGAGUAAUUGUUAUUGUCUAUUUUAGUGUUGCAAAUUUUUUUAUGUUUACAAUUGAACUUCUUAAAGCAUUGUGUCUAUGCCCGGGGCACAAUAGCUGAUUUGUUAAGGGUUUGUCAUUUCAUAAGCAUAUUUACAUUCGAUAAAUCAAUGGACUUUUUGCAUUCAAAUAUUGCGCUCUUUAUCUUUCCUGUCACCUUCCAAACAAGCUAUGUUUUCUUACACACACUCACGUAACAAAUUGCAGAUCCAUACCCACUCUGGAUCCUGUGGAUAAUAGUUCUACUACUGUUCAUUAUGACUUUGAAAAUCUGAUCUACCAAGCCGAGGAUGGAAGUGAGGUGGAUUGUGAAGUCCCUGGAGAACUUGCCAGACUAUUAUUGCAAGAAGAAAAGACUAUACAGUCGUAUGAGGAAUCAAUUGAAAUUGUAAAUCUGGGUACCGAGGUAGACAAGAAAGAAGUCAAAAUAGGAGCAGGCUUGGAGAACAGUGUCAAAGGAAGAUUGAUUCAGAUGUUACAUGACUAUGUAGAGAUUUUCGCUCGGUCUUAUGAAGACAUGCCAGGACUGGAUACUGAUAUAGUAGUGCAUCGUCUGCCAAUGAAGGAAGAUUGUCGUCCUGUUAAGCAAAAGGUUCGUCGCAUGUGUCCUGAAAUGUCUGAGAAAAUCAAAGCCGAGGUUAUGAAACAAUUUGAUGCAGGUUUUCUGGCUGUUACUUCUUAUCCUCAAUGGUUACCGCACCUGGCCCAGUACCGUAUUCCUCAAGCAAAGCCAUUCCUUGGAAUUAUGGAGGUGAUGUUUACAUCCAUGGCGUGAAGCAAGAUGAUAAUCCUGCUAAUCCUAAUGACGUUGACAUUGUUAGGACUAGUAGAAUUACUCGAAGUGGAAGGGUCUUUUCUCCAGAAAUCUCACCUCCCGUCCCUGAACCGCGAGGAAAGGAACCAGUCAACCCUUCUCAGUCAGAGACAUCGGUCGAAGUUACUACCGAAGAUGUUGCCAAACAAGAAAUGGAAGAAGUGCUGAAAAUCAUCCGCAAGAGUGAUUU